AAUAAAAUAAAAGGAAAUAAAAACAAAGCAAAAGAAAAGAAACAGAAUAGAAAGAACAAAGAAACAGAGAAAGAGACGAAACAGAGGAGAAACAUGGGAGAAAGAAGAAAAAGAAAGAAAAAGGGAAAAUAGGGUUUUUAAAGCUUGGAAUUUAACUUGCUAAUAUCGCACCCGAGGCAUCCACGAGGAAAGGAAAAGAAAAAGUGGACGAGGAAUAGACACGGGAAUUACGGUUGUAAAGGUCAAGUACUGAUCCAGCAUCCAAAACCAGACCCGACUUCAGCAAACUUUUGGUGAUGUAUAUUUUCCUUGGUAAUGUGGCAUGUACAUGGGAUGUGUAUAAAUGUUAUUAUGUUUUAGUAUGAAUGAUUAAAAAUGUUAGUAGUAUAAGUUUAUGAAUUAUAAUGAAAGAAGUUUAUCGAUCUUUAUUUAA